GGUUCUAUGGUGUAAUGGUUAGCACGCUGGACUUUUGAAUCCAGCAAUCUGAGUUCAAAUCUCAGUAGGACUU
rnacentral:tRNA from 1 species